rnacentral:rRNA from 1 species
UGGGGAAUAUUGGACAAUGGGCGCAAGCCUGAUCCAGCCAUGCCGCGUGAGUGAUGAAGGCCUUAGGGUUGUAAAGCUCUUUCGCCGGUGAAGAUAAUGACGGUAACCGGGGAAGAAGCCCCGGCUAACUUCGUGCCAGCAGCCGCGGUAAUACGAAGGGGGCUAGCGUUGCUCGGAAUCACUGGGCGUAAAGCGCACGUAGGCGGAUCGUUAAGUCAGGGGUGAAAUCCUGGAGCUCAACUCCAGAACUGCCCUUGAUACUGGCGAUCUCGAGUUCGAGAGAGGUUGGUGGAACUCCGAGUGUAGAGGUGAAAUUCGUAGAUAUUCGGAAGAACACCAGUGGCGAAGGCGGCCAACUGGCUCGAUACUGACGCUGAGGUGCGAAAGCGUGGGGAGCAAAACAGGAUUAGAUACCCUGGUAGUCCACGCCGUAAAACGAUGGAUGCUAGCCGUUGGGGGGUUUACCUCUCAGUGGCGCAGCUAACGCCUUAAGCAUCCCGCCUGGGGAGUACGGUCGCAAGAUUAAAACUCAAAUGAAUUGACGGGGUCAUAGCUG